rnacentral:rRNA from 1 species
GAUAAACGCUGGCGGCGUGCCUAACACAUGCAAGUCGAACGCGCUUUCUCGCAUGCUUCGUUAAGAAGCGAGCAAGAGAGCGAGUGGCGGACGGGUGAGUAACACAUGGGUCACCUACCUUUCAGUGAGGAAUACCGACGAGAAAUCGUCGACAAGACCGCAUAUGCUCUUUGCAAAGAGAGCAAAGUCCUUUCGCAAGAAGGGACGCUGGAAGAUGGGCCNGUGGCCGAUUAGCUAGUUGGUAGGGUAAUGGCCUACCAAGGCGACGAUCGGUAGCUGGUCUGAGAGGACGAUCAGCCACACUGGGAUUGAGAACGGCCCAGACU